rnacentral:rRNA from 1 species
GAUGAACGCUAGCUACAGGCUUAACACAUACAAGUCGAGGGGCAGCAUGGUCUUAUCUUGCUAAGGCCGAUGGCGACCGGCGCACGGGUGAGUAACACGUAUCCAACCUGCCGUCUACUCUUGGACAGCCUUCUGAAAGGAAGAUUAAUACAAGAUGGCAUCAUGAGUCCGCAUGUUCACAUGAUUAAAGGUAUUCCGGUAGACGAUGGGGAUGCGUUCCAUUAGAUAGUAGGCGGGGUAACGGCCCACCUAGUCUUCGAUGGAUAGGGGUUCUGAGAGGAAGGUCCCCCACAUUGGAACUGAGACACGGUCCAAACUCCUACGGGAGGCAGCAGUGAGGAAUAUUGGUCAAUGGGCGAGAGCCUGAACCAGCCAAGUAGCGUGAAGGAUGACUGCCCUAUGGGUUGUAAACUUCUUUUAUAAAGGAAUAAAGUCGGGUAUGCAUACCCGUUUGCAUGUACUUUAUGAAUAAGGAUCGGCUAACUCCGUGCCAGCAGCCGCGGUAAUACGGAGGAUCCGAGCGUUAUCCGGAUUUAUUGGGUUUAAAGGGAGCGUAGAUGGAUGUUUAAGUCAGUUGUGAAAGUUUGCGGCUCAACCGUAAAAUUGCAGUCGAUACUGGAUAUCUUGAGUGCAGUUGAGGCAGGCGGAAUUCGUGGUGUAGCGGUGAAAUGCUAAGAUAUCACGAAGAACUCCGAUUGCGAAGGCAGCCUGCUAAGCUGCAACUGACAUUGAGGCUCGAAAGUGUGGGUAUCAAACAGGAUUAGAUACCCUGGUAGUCCACACGGUAAACGAUAAAUGCUCGCUGUUUGGGGAUAUACAGCAAGCGCCCAAGGGAAAGCGUUAAUUUUUCCACCGGGGGAGUACCCCGGCAACGGGAAAACUCAAAGGAAUGGCGGGGGGCCCGCACAAGCGGAGGAACAUGGGGUUUAAUUCGAUGAUACGCGAGGAACCUUACCCGGGCUAAAAUUGCAGAUGAAUUACGGUGAAAGCCGUAAGCCGCAAGGCAUCUGUGAAGGUGCUGCAUGGUUGUCGUCAGCUCGUGCCGUGAGGUGUCGGCUUAAGUGCCAUAACGAGCGCAACCCUUGUUGUCAGUUACUAACAGGUUCCGCUGAGGACUCUGACAAGACUGCCAUCGUAAGAUGUGAGGAAGGUGGGGAUGACGUCAAAUCAGCACGGCCCUUACGUCCGGGGCUACACACGUGUUACAAUGGGGGGUACAGAGGGCCGCUACCACGCGAGUGGAUGCCAAUCCCAAAAACCCCUCUCAGUUCGGACUGGAGUCUGCAACCCGACUCCACGAAGCUGGAUUCGCUAGUAAUCGCGCAUCAGCCACGGCGCGGUGAAUACGUUCCCGGGCCUUGCAC